rnacentral:rRNA from 1 species
AUUGAACGCUGGCGGCAUGCUUUACACAUGCAAGUCGAACGGUAACAGGCCUUCGGGUGCUGACGAGUGGCGAACGGGUGAGUAAUGCAUCGGAACGUACCCAGAGGUGGGGGAUAACGCAGCGAAAGCUGUGCUAAUACCGCAUGUGAUCUGAGGAUGAAAGCGGGGGACCGAGCAGCAAUGUUUGGCCUCGCGCCUUUGGAGCGGCCGAUGUCGGAUUAGCUAGUUGGUGGGGUAAAGGCCUACCAAGGCGACGAUCCGUAGCUGGUCUGAGAGGACGACCAGCCAAACUGGGACUGCGACACGGCCCAGAGUCCUACGGGAGGCAGCAGUGGGGAAUUUUGGACAAUGGGCGCAAGCCUGAUCCAGCAAUGCCGCGUGCGGGAAGAAGGCCUUCGGGUUGUAAACCGCUUUUGGCAGGAACGAAACGGUGUCCGCUAAUACCGGGCGCUAAUGACGGUACCUGCAGAAUAAGCACCGGCUAACUACGUG